rnacentral:rRNA from 1 species
UACGGGGGGAGCAAGCGUUGUUCGGAUUUACUGGGCGUAAAGGGCGCGUAGGCGGUCAGCACAAGUCAGUUGUGAAAUCUCCGGGCUUAACUCGGAAAGGUCAACUGAUACUGUGCGACUAGAGUGCAGAAGGGGCAACUGGAAUUCUCGGUGUAGCGGUGAAAUGCGUAGAUAUCGAGAGGAACACCUGCGGCGAAGGCGGGUUGCUGGGCUGACACUGACGCUGAUGCGCGAAAGCCCAGGGGAGCGAACGGG